CCGAUGGUGGCUUUAAAGUUUAAAGGGAGCAGCCCUGCUGUGUGGUUCUGCGCUGGGAAGCUGAGCCCACCACACCUCUCUCUCCGACUACGGGCUAGACUCCCUCCCGCGCCCCGCGCCACCCGGAGACCACACUCGGCCACCGCUGAAACAGGAGGCGGCGUUAAUUUUGAAAACGAUCCAUGCUGUAAUGUCAUGAACCAGGAAGCUGGACUCCUUCACCAGCUCUUUAUGCAAAUAUUUGACUGCAGCUUGAGCUGAAGGACUUGGAAGGAGUGGGUUUUUAAAAAUCUGCUUCAUUGUAGAGCUCUCCUUAACCCCUUUCCUCCCCGGGAAUGGGAACGGUCUGUUUGUCCGCCUGCCCACAUUACUGCCCUCAGCGACCAGCAGCCAAACCCGCCUGGAAGGGGCCAGCGGCCAUAAACAUACCUCUCCACCAAGUGGGGUUUCUCUCCAGCUGCAUCGAAGCAGAAUUCUACCAUGUCCCCAAACCCCUUAAUGAAAGCUUCUAUUUUGUUGUGAA